AACGAAUAUGCAUGAACGAGUGAACAGAACAGAGAGGCAGUUUAAGUCUCUCCCAGCUAACCAACAGAGUCUUCUUCCUCAAUUUCUCCCUCACCUUGACAAGAUCCGGAAGUGCAUUGAUCAUAAUCAAGAAAUACUACAAACCAUUGUGAAGGACUGUGUUCAUAUGUUUGAAAAUAAGGAAUAUGGAGAAGAUGGAAGUGGGAAGAUUACACCAGCUUCAACAUUUGACAUGGAUAAAUUAAAGUCCACAUUGAAGCAAUUUGUGAGAGACUGGAGUGAAGAGGGAAAGUUGGAGCGGGAUUCUUGCUACCAGCCAAUUAUUAGUGAAAUUAUAAAGAACUUUCCAAAAGAAAGAUGGGAUUUCUCCAAAGUUAAUAUCCUGGUACCUGGUGCUGGGCUAGGUAGAUUGGCGUGGGAAAUAGCUAUGCUCGGUUAUGCUUGCCAAGGAAAUGAAUGGAGCCUCUUUAUGCUCUUUUCUUCUAACUUUGUACUCAACAGAUGCUCUGAAAUUAAUUCAUGUAAGCUUUAUCCCUGGAUUCAUCAAUUUAGCAAUAACAGAAGAUCUGCUGAUCAGAUACGACCAAUUUAUUUCCCAGAUGUUGAUCCUCACAGUCUUCCUUCUGGUUCAAACUUCUCUAUGACAGCAGGGGAUUUUCAGGAAAUUUAUUCUGAGUGCAAUACAUGGGACUGCGUAGCAACUUGCUUUUUCAUAGAUACAGCACAUAAUGUUAUUGAUUAUAUUGAUACUAUAUGGAAAAUACUAAAGCCUGGAGGAAUAUGGAUAAAUGUAGCCAUUUCUAUUGUAUCUUUGUACUUCAGGUCCUCUCCUUUACCAUUUUGAAAACUUGGGAAAUGAACUUUCCAUAGAAUUAAGCUAUGAGGAUAUAAAGAAUGUUAUCCUGCAAUAUGGAUUCCAUAUAGAGGUGGAGAAAGAAUCUGUACUGUCAACUUACACUGUGAAUGAACUCUCCAUGAUGAAAUACUACUAUGAAUGUGUGUUGUUUGUGGUGAGAAAACCAGAAGAAUAGUGCUUUGAAUAGGUCAAUGAGAAAAUAAUGUUGGUUUGAAAGCUAGAAAUGAGAAUAAAAUCGUCUGGUGAUGUAUGGACACAACCUCAAAUCAGUGGUGCCUUCUUGUUCCUAAGAGGAUAUAGAUAGUGUCUAUUUUCUUAAUAUCUCUGUUGCUAUUCAGACAUUUAUGCGCCAUGGAUAUUCAUAAUACACUUGUGAAAGAUUAAAUGUUCACAUGCACUGUCUUUGUGCUUUGGAAUGCAUUAAAUAAAAAAGCAAAAGUGUUUUCUUGAGAAUAAAAUGUAAUGUUUGCCAUAACUAGGCUAAAUACUCUGCAAAUGCUGCCUCAUUUUUCAUAGAUUUAUAGUGCUUUUUUUCCUACUUGAUGAUAUUAGGAAUGCAUGGAGGUGCUUACUGUACUAGCUGUAUCACUUUUAGAGAAGUGUUUGUAAAUGUAUACUUAAAUUAUGAAGUCUGAAAUGAUUGGGAAGUGGUAAAAUUAUUCUUGAACAAGUAAAUUAGUCAUCAGAACUGUUAGAGCAUUUCCUGUGCAACUGAAGUAAAGUAGGAUAUCUACAAAUUCUGAUCUUUGGCUGUAUCACUGUUAAAGGUUUAAUCAAAAACCAUAACUGAUAGGAAAUUAGAAAUGCUAUGUGAAAGCAGAAUACUGAGUGAAGAAAAAGCAGACUAUCACAGAGAAGCAGUAUGUUAACCUCAGUUCAGGAAAACACUGGUCUUGAUUGAUCUUAAUGUUGGAACUGAAAUGUGUUAGAUGCUUUGCUUUCUUGAAAUAACACUGAUUUUUGAGUCAUCUUCUACUAUUUAAGAUGGAACUUUUAAAGUUGAUAAACAUAGCUGAGUUAUCCAUGCCACAUGUAUGUAGUACAACAUAAAAAUACUUGUCGGAGCAGUGAAGUUACAUGUAAAUGUGUGCUAUAACAUAAUUACUUCCACCUGAGCCAGGAUAUGGCAGGCCAAAUGGUAGACAAUUUCUUUGUAACUUCACUUUACCCCUGAGACUUCUUGGUUCCUCCUACUAAUGUGUUUUAUUUCCUAACAGAUGUGGCUUAGGUGAAUAUUUAAUCUACAAGUCUUGAUACUAUACAAGAGGAUGUCAUGUCACAUACAAUCUCAUGUCACUUUGAAGUUAUGUAGGAAAUGAGAAAAACCCUAAUUGGAAGUCAGUAGUCUGAGAUGAGGUGUCAUGUUAGGCAUUCUGUUUGCAUAAUAUAUUGAUUACCUUAAGUGCCAUUUGGAUGCUUUUUCAAAAAUAUGUUUAAAAUAUAAAACCAUUAUGAUGAGGGCUGAAUUUUUUUUCUGCUUUUGCUAAAAGGACACUGGUCAGUAUGUUGUUUGUUUCUGAUUAUUUUUUGUCCUGUGUUUCAUGGUGAUGUCCUAAUCAUAUCUCUUUAAUAGAUCUGUUACUGGCUUUUCAAUUUUUCUAAUCAAGGCCAGAAAUUUGUGCCUUUAUUCCUAAAUUGAAAGUCUGCAAGGAGGGAAAACAAACCUUUUUUUAAAAAAAUAUUUUCAGUGCUGCAUAGGAGAGCACAUGCUUGUGUAUGUUUCAGUAGUAUUAUGCUCCUGUCUGCUCAGAAUCCUAAUUGAGAACAGAGGCUUCUGCUCUACAGAAGCUUUUAAGUUUUGGCUUAAACUACUCUUCUUUUUAAACUCUCUUAUUUCUAAAAGUGCAUGAACUGUCGAAGUUCUACUCUGUUCCAAGGGAGAUGUGUUAAAAGAUUAAACACUGCUAUUCAACAAAGAGUUAGAAAAUAAAAGUCCUUGUGUGGCUAAAAGUAAAAAAACACAUGCUUUAAUUUCUACCUUGUACCAUUUAAUUUUUGAGAAAAUUUGUGAUUCUUUGCUUUCAUUAUGCUUUCUUCUCUUAGGUAGAAUAUGAUUAUUAAUUUACUUGAUUUUCAAGUUUCUUGAAAUAAGACAGGUUAGCUGAAUGUCAGUUAAGCUGAUGCUGAGUACCAUACCUAUCUGUAAUACUACCCAGUUUUUGCCCCAUACACUCUGUAACUUGAAAUGUGCUAUUCUGUCUCUCAAAAAAAAAGCAGUGGAACUCUUAUUUAUGGUUGAGUGUCAAUAUCCUGUGUUCUGGUGUUUUUUUCCCAUACCAUUCCAUGGUGUCACAGGUGCCAUUUUUGUAUAUUCUCCGAAAAUAUUUUUGCAUAUGGUAUAAUAUAGUGAUAUGCUUUUAUUUCUGAUCUAGAGAAUGCAGGGGAUUUUUCAAGAGCAUUCUGCGUUUAAAUUGGAACAGUCACAUUAAGAGUUGGAAGCAAAAUAAUCUUGUGAAUGAGUUGUUAGUAGUGUUUUCUCUUCAGUCCCAUUUAAGAGUUUUUGGAAUUCCCCACUUGUACUGUAAUGCACAGGGAUAAUGGUGUAUUUAGUUUUAUAUGCAGGGGGAAAUGCUCAAGGUGUUCAUCAGCUAAGACUGUUUAUUUUAGGUCACUAUUUAAUUGUACAUGGUAACAAGUGUAAAAAUGCUGCAUAAUCCUCAAUGUAAAACUUCUCUCUCUGGAGUUUGAUAAAUGUAAAACGUCCUGUAUAUUUUUCAAUGUGUUAUAUUCUAAAGUUGUUGCAGAGAUGGUAAGAAUAAGAAGUUUGGUGUCUCUGUGUGCACUUCCCAUUGUUCAAAGUACGUGUAAUGGACUGGGUUUUUUGGGUAUUAAAGCUUGCUGUAAGGCUUGA